CCUACGGGUGGCAGCAGUGAGGAAUAUUGGUCAAUGGCCGGAAGGCUGAACCAGCCAUGCCGCGUGAAGGUCAGUGCCCUAUGGGCGUUAAACUUCUUUUGUGCGGGAGCAAUAAUGGUCACGUGUGGCCAGACGAGAGUACCGUACGAAUAAGCAUCGGCUUACCACGUGCCAGCAGCCGCGGUAAUACGGGGGAUGCAAGCGUUAUCCGGAUUUAUUGGGUUUAAAGGGGGCGUAGGCUGUGAGGUAAGUCAGCGGUGAAAUGCCCCCGCUCAACGGGGUGAAGUGCCAUUGAUACUGCCUGGCUGGAAUGCGGAUGCCGUAGGAGGAAUGUGUGGUGUAGCGGUGAAAUGCAUAGAUAUCACACAGAACACCGAUUGCGAAGGCAUCUCACGAAUCCGCGAUUGACACUGAUGCACGAAAGCGUGGGUAUCAAACAGGAUUAGAUACCCCUGUAGUC
rnacentral:rRNA from 1 species